rnacentral:tRNA from 1 species
UGUGGGAUAGCCAAGUGGCAAGGCACUCGCCUGUUAAGCGAGCGAUGCGUGGGUUCGACUCCCACUCCCACAGCCA